UAAUAUUUCCUUGGGAGGGGAGAGAUCAUAGUAUAUGUAAUAGGUAGCUCAGGGCACCCAAACUUUUGGAAGACUGUCUUAUCUGCCACAACCCCAUGAACUUCAGCAGAGUUCCAGCCUGCAAAGGACUGGGGUGGGAACAGAAGGAGGGUGAUCAGCCUGGAUAGCAGCUUCCACAGGGAAAACCAGGAUCCCUAGAUAUCAGCAGGCCACCAGUUAUCCAAAAAAGUCCAUAAGAACAUCUGCUUAGGUCCCUCUCAGACAUCACAGCCACAAAGCAAUGAAUAGUUCUACCAAAUGACAUCAGGCAUGAAGAGGCGGGACCACCAACCCAGAUCCAGAUGGAUGACAUGACAAAACAGUGUUAGUACAUGGUGAAAUCAGUAUAUGGUGUAAUUCAGACAAAACGCAGUGUCUAGUAUCAUGCUUGAUGACUCAUGAGCAUGUGUGCAAUCUCCAACGUUCUGAGAGCAGGGAGUAGACAUUAAGCCCUGCACUUCUUCAUGAGGCCAUGAAUAUUAUUUACGAAGGCAAAACUCCUCUAUAAUACAUCUUCUUGUGCGGUGUCAUCUUCAUAAAAUAAACAGCUAUGCUCUGACCUGUGGGAUUACAAGAUACUCUACGGCAGCUUUCGACUUUUUGCAAUAUUGUUGCAAGCACAGAGGAUCACGGUCUAAAUCAGGGGCAGGCAAUUAUUUUGGGUGGAGGGCCACUUAACAAGCUUUGGUGAGCUUUCGAGGGCCGCUUGGGUAGCCCCACCCCUUGACAGUUGCCCCGUCCCCUGGUUGCCAUCUUGGGACCAGACUUCCCACCCCAAUCCCUGUUGGUUGCCACUGGAAAUCCCUCCCCCUGCCCCCCAGAAAUAAUUAUUUUGGGAAGGGGGGUUGCCAUCUUAGAACCAAAAGAAAAAACAAUUCAUAUACUAAAAGUCAAACACCUACUAUAACAUAUUUUAAUUUUAUUACAAAAAAUAUUUUUGUCACAAUUUGUGUUUGCAUACUGUAUAUAGGGUGUUCGCAUAAUAACUCAAAAAUAAAUUCUUAAUCUUGUA